rnacentral:lncRNA from 1 species
AAAAAAAAUGAACGAAAAACAAAUAUGUAACACAUAAACAAACGACAACCACUGAAUUACAGACUCCUGACUUGGGACAGGCACAUACAUAAAUAAUGUGGCGGGGUUAAACAUGUUAGCGGGAUCCCAACCCUCCCCCUAACCUGGGACAGUGGUAUUACAGUACAACAUAAGAACGAACUAUAAAAAUCAGUUGAAAAAGGCUUAACUCAUCAGAUGGACA